ACGGGAGGCAGCAGUGGGGAAUAUUGCACAAUGGGCGAAAGCCUGAUGCAGCGACGCCGCGUGAACGAAGAAGUAUUUCGGUAUGUAAAGUUCUAUCAGCAGGGAAGAUAAUGACGGUACCUGACUAAGAAGCACCGGCUAAAUACGUGCCAGCAGCCGCGGUAAUACGCAUGGUGCAAGCGUUAUCCGGAUUUACUGGGUGUAAAGGGAGCGCAGGCGGUCUAGCAAGUCUGAAGUGAAAUCCCGGGGCUCAACCCCGGAACUGCUUUGGAAACUGUUGGACUAGAGUGUCGGAGGGGUAAGCGGAAUUCCUAGUGUAGCGGUGAAAUGCGUAGAUAUUAGGAGGAACACCAGUGGCGAAGGCGGCUUACUGGACGAUAACUGACGCUGAGGCUCGAAAGCGUGGGGAGCAAACAGGAUUAGAUACCCUGGUA
rnacentral:rRNA from 1 species